UAAGUCUCGGCUAACUACGUGCCAGCAGCCGCGGUAAAACGUAGGAGGCAAGCGUUAUCCGGAGUUACUGGGCGUAAAGGGUGCGUAGGCGGCUCAUCAAGUGGGACGUGAAAGCUCACGGCUAAACUGUGAGAGGACGACUCAGACUGAAGGGCUAGAGGGUGUCAGAGGCGUGCGGAAUUCGGGGUGUAGCGGUGAAAUGUGUAGAGAUCCCGAGGAACACCAGUGGUGCAAACGGCGCGCUGGGACACAACUGACGCUGAAGCACGAAAGCGUGGGGAGCGAACGGGAUUAGAGACCCCGGUAGUCCACGCCGUAAACGAUGUCAACUAGGUGUCUGCAAGGGGAAACCUGAGUGGGUGUCAAAGCUAACGCGAUAAGUUGACCGCCUGGGGAGUACGGUCGCAAGGCUAAAACUCAAAGGAAUUGACGGGGGCCCGCACAAGCAGCGGAGCGUGUGGUUUAAUUC
rnacentral:rRNA from 1 species